ensembl:lncRNA
GGCAAGUUGGCCGCCAGUGCGGACCUUCGACUCCAUUGGCCAGCAGAAUAUGCAUGUCUGCGUCUCCCCCGCCUCUCCUCAUAAAGCGCCCCCACCGUGACGGUUGUUAAUCGUUUUUUUUUUGCGUUGGAUUGCGUGGGCUGAACAAUCCGGACAUCGUGGCCACCGACGUGGACCCCCCGCCACCGGGACCCACGCAGUGAGUAACGCGGGGUACUUCCUUCAUGAGCGCUGCACAUGUUACACUCUCCCCAUCUCCUCCUGUCCUCUGUUCUCGCCCCUCUAUUGUACAUGUUUUACCGCUGGAGGUUAAUGUGGUUUUGCUGAUGGAAGUGGUAGUUUGUGUUGAGUGGUUUGGUUUAUCUAUGGGAUCGACUGACUAACUAACGCUGCGGACCGCUACAGCACCGACCACCACACUGGGAAGUGUCCUCUGCUCACUGUGGAAGCAGCAUGGAAGAACUGCAGCAACUCUGUUGGAAACGAGGACCUCCACGCUGUUGAACACAAACUGUUCUAGGCCUACUACAAACCGAGGCGGUCCCACUCGGUUAAAGAUCUCGUGGUCAAUGCGGCAGACCGCUGGACCUGGACGUCACCUUCUGCAGAUACUUCACUGCCCUCAGGAAUCCACGGAUAACUUGAAAAAAGUCCGACUCCACAUGUCCGAAGAAUCCAGGAUGGAAACUUGUGGAAGGAAGAAAGGGGUCUGUUUUUGCUCAACCCAUAACCCCACUGAGCCCUUCUGUGGAAACCUGCCUGACUGACCCUACUGACUGGGGGCCUGUUGUGUGUUUGGUUGGUCUGGUAGAAGGUUUGCUGCUUGUGAUCUGCAAGGUGGUCCUUGGUUAGAUGCGGUGUCUGACUUGCACACCACUCUCCCAAUUCUAUUCUUCUCUUUACUACUUUCAAUACACUUGCUGCUGCUGCUGUUGACCGCUGGUGGUGCAAUGUGGUUUUUAUUCGCGUAUGUUCUGUGGACUUUGCAUUUGUAUUUUAAUGAACAUGUUUACUGCCUGUUAGACCUCUGAUUGGCAUACCUAAACUCCUUCACUGGCAAAAUGUAGAUGCAAAUUAAAUGCCAAAAUUAACAUUUCAAUAUUCGGUUUGCGUAUUUCACCAAUAGCUUCGGAACUAAAUGGACCUCGUAUAUAAUUUGCUCUUCAAAGAUGCGGUCAGGCGCCCCUCCGUUACGUUUUCUGCCCGGUACGAAAUAGACCGACCAAUAGCAUAGCAUCGACCCAUUUUAGAUCGCGCCCUUUAGACACGCCCCUUGGAAAUUGAACAACGCAGAGGAUCCAGAAGGAUUUCACAACGAGUCCAUUGGAAGAUAUCGAGGAACAUGAACAUCACCAAUGAAGGAGAGUAACGUUUCCACUUGCUAUAGGAAUUUAGUGAAGCACUAAAUAGUUAAUAAUAAUAAUGAUAAAAUGUGGUCACCAUUUAUUGACUUUUUGGGUAAGACUUGCUUAACCAUUCAUUUACUUUUCUUGUGUAGUUUCCCACUAUUCAUUAAAUGUUUUAUAGAAGUAAAAAUAGUAAUCAAUAGAACAUACACAUUUGUACAACAAUUAAUCAUUAUACAGGAUUUGAACAUUUUCUAUUCGAGCUCAUGCUUCAUAAUAUUUCCAAGGAUUGCAGAGUACCAAAUGAUUUAUGAACAGUUUUUUGUUCAGGAGCGGAUUGUACUCCCAGAGGCUUCAACAGAGCGGGUCUGGAGCUGGGAGCUGCAGGUGGAUGGUGGCCAGGAGCCGUUCAGUCCUACAGACACAGACGGUAGAGGUGAUGGAGGCGGUCGUCUGGAGGGGCUCGUCUGGAGGUCCGUGGCAGUCGUCUGGAGGUGCUCGUCUGGAGGUCCGUGGCGGUCGUCUGGAGGUGCUCGCCGUGAGGUCCAUGGCGGUCGUCUGGAGGCGCCUGCUGCAGGUGGAGGGAAGGCCGGGAGCCGUGCAGCCCAACGGAUGCAGAACGAAGGACUGAGGCGGAGGUCCUGGAGGCAGAGGUCCUGGAGGCGUCCAACCUGGAAGGGGCGGCAUGGAGGGCCAGGUGGCGGCUCCUCAUCCAAAGGGCCUGGAGGCGGCCAACCUGGAAGGCCUGGAGACGGCCGAGAUCCUGGAGGCAACGGCGGGCCUGGAGGUGGAGGCCAACCUGGUGGUCCUGGAGUCGGUGGGCCUGGAGGCGGUGGUGGGGACCAACCUGGAGGGCCUGGAGGCGGUGGUUGGGACCAACCUGGAGGGCCUGGAGGCGGUGGUGGAGACCAACCUGGAGGGCCUGGAGGCGGUGGUUGGGACCAACCUGGAGGGCCUGGAGGCGGUGGUUGGGACCAACCUGGAGGUCCCGGCGGUGGCGUCCACCUGGCGGCGGUCAGCCUGGAGGGCCCAGCGGCGGCGUCCUGGAGGGCCCGGAGGAGGCGGCUCCUCAUCCAGUAAAGCUAAGCUCUUCUCCAGUGCAUCAUGAACGGGGAGGAAUGUCCGGGGUGCAAAUAGAACGUGUGUCACAUUUCAGAAGAAAUGAGGCGACGUUGCGGAGGUCCAGGCGGUUGGCCCGGUGGAGGUCCUGGAGGAGACGGUCCCGGCGGUGGAGGACGGCUGGGGGAUCCGGCGGUGGAGGUCCGAAGGCGGCUCGUGAUUAGACCAACCAGCUCCUCAUCCAUGGAAGGAUUGAAGGAGUCACUUGGGAUGAAGAUCACUGCUCGGGGGCUGACGACCACUCAUCUUUCCGGAGAAGCGUCCUCAUGGUGCAGGCGGUCAAACCUCCACCUCUUUGAAGAGACCAAGCAGCUUGAUGACUGACUGGUUCUUUAUACUCAAGACCUCGUCCCGGAGCAGAGGACGGACCUAAGGCCCGCAGCGCAGCCGACUAGAGACUCCAUGUGGAACCUGUAAGAUACUGGAUUGACCAUCUUGAAGACAUUUUCAUUUAUUCAACAAGGUUCAAUUAAGUUGACCUCUCCUUCAGGCGACUUAAAGGGAGACCAGAUGUGCAGCAGCUGGGUGUCAUGGUGCAGAGACCCAACGCUGUACUGAACUACACCAGUGUGGCCUACUCCCAUAAACCCUGAGGAUCCCUGGAUGGCUACACCAGUGUGUCCUACUCCCAUAAACCCUGAGGAUCCCUGGAUGGCUACACCAGCACAUUAAUCCACACCCAACAUCAACACAGUGCACACUCUAUAGAGCUCGUAAGUCCGCCCCUUGCGGCGGGACCUUGUGAGAUCGUAAGAUAUGACUGGGUUUCAAUGGAGAGAAAGUAAUUUUUUCUCCAUUUUAUGUUGCACCACAUUUUGGGGGAAGAAUGUUUGAAUCAAUCUUUGUCAUUUAUUUCUGUACUCCAUAUCUGUAAUCCCAGCUGUUGUAUUUUAACACGGUAGCUGGGAACCCUCUUUAUAGGGAGCGACUAGAGGGACGAGGCUGGAAGCAAACCUGAGCCUGGAUCUUAACCUUCUUUCUAAACCUAAUGCCGCAAUUUAACCGCAAAUAAAGUGAGGCCUAAAGUAACUUGACUCUCUUACCUAAACUUGCUUGCCUAAACUCGCUUGUCUUAACUCACUUGCAUAACACCUAAACUCGCUUGCAUAAAACCUGAACUUGCUUGGCUAAACUCGCGUCGCUUGCCUAAUACCUGAACUUGCUUGCCUAAUACCUGAACUCGCUUGCCUAAACUCGCUUGCCUAAACUCGCUUGCCUAAACUCGCUUGCCUAAACUCGCUUGCCUAAACUCGCUUGCCUAAACUCGCUUGCCUAAACUCGCUUGCCUAAACUCGCUUGCCUAAACUCGCUUGCCUAAACUCGCUUGCCUAAUACCUGAACUCGCUUGCAUAAAACCUCAACUCGCUUAGCUUGACUCGCUUGCCUAAACUCGCUUGCAUAAAACCUAAACUCGCUUGCCUGUACUCGCUUGCCUAAUACCUGAAGUCGCUUGCCUAAAACCUAAACUUGCUUUUCCAAACACGUUACACAAAGUUAACCAUCCAUAAUCUUUAACCCAAACCAGACUUGUCCCUGGGUCGCUCCACUUUAAUUUAGAAGUUUCUUCUUUUACCUUAUCUGUGUUUUGAGUUUCAUUCUUUGAGGGCUUGAAGUGCUUUGGAGGAUAUUUGAACCUUUGUUUGCCGCAUCAAUAAACAUGCUUUAUCUUUACCCAUUUUGGAUUGCAUUUCUAUGUGUAAUCCGGCCAAAUGUUCAGUGUCCUUACAUGUAAUGUCUAUGGUCUGACGAUAAUCUGACCUCUUCAUGAAGCAGAAUGUGUGUGAAUGUUGUCCCGUGAGCGUCCAGGCUCUCUGUGGGCCUGUCAACGUCUCUUUAGCAAAAGGUUGGAGAGUGAAAUUCAUUUUUGUGCCAUUUUCAUGUGUUCCUGAGUAUUUCAGACCUGUGGUGUUUCACAUGAGACCUUAAUGGGAACUUUUCUUUUUCGGCCUGUAUACGUAAUGCCUACAUUAGUAGGGUGAUCACUGUUGAUCCCAAUAUUGAUCAUUAACCACCUUCUUUGGGAUUACAAAUCAUGUAAUUUAUGAGCAUAUUUGCAAAUGCCUCUAAAUAUCAGAUUGUGUAAAAAAAAAACAAAUGAAAUGUAACCUGCUUGAUUUAAAGAAAAUAAAACAUCCAAAUAUUAUAAACCUGUUUUGUGUUGCUCUCUUACCAUGUGGAAAUUAGCAGAUGGAUAUGUUUAGCUCUGAUUUGCUGCCUCCUUUUGGUGUGGUGCUGGGAUUUGUUUAAUAUACUA